GACGAACGCUGGCGGCGUGCUUAACACAUGCAAGUCGAACGAAGUGGCGAACGGGUGAGUAACGCGUAUUCAACCUGCCCUUCAGAGGGGGACAACAGUUGGAAACGACUGCUAAUACCGCAUACUGAAGGAGGGGAUUGCGUCUGAUUAGCUAGUUGGAGGGGUAACGGCCCACAAAGGCGAUGAUCAGUAGGCGGGCUGAGAGGAUGAACGGCAACAUUUGGACUGAGAUACGGCCCAGACUGCUACGGGAGGGAGCAAUGGGGAAUCUGCCGCAAUGGACGGAAGUCUGACGGAGCAACGCCGCGUGAGUGAGGACGGCCUUCGGGUUGUAAAGCUCUGUUAAUCGGGACGCGGUACCGGAAUAGAAAGCCACGGCUAACUACGUGCCAGCAGCCGCGGUAAUUC
rnacentral:rRNA from 1 species